rnacentral:rRNA from 1 species
UACGUAGGGACCAAGCGUUGUUCGGAUUUACUGGGCGUAAAGGGCGCGUAGGCGGCGCGGUAAGUCACUUGUGAAAUCUCUGAGCUUAACUCAGAACGGCCAAGUGAUACUGCAGUGCUAGAGUGUGGAAGGGGCAAUCGGAAUUCUUGGUGUAGCGGUGAAAUGCGUAGAUAUCAAGAGGAACACCUGAGGUGAAGACGGGUUGCUGGGCCAACACUGACGCUGAGGCGCGAAAGUGUGGGGAGCGAACAGG